UACAGAGGGUGCGAGCGUUAAUCGGAAUUACUGGGCGUAAAGCGCGCGUAGGCGGCUUUGUAAGUCGGGUGUGAAAUCCCCGGGCUCAACCUGGGAACUGCAUCCGAGACUGCAUUGCUAGAGUAUGGGAGAGGGAAGCGGAAUUUCUGGUGUAGCAGUGAAAUGCGUAGAUAUCAGAAGGAACAUCAGUGGCGAAGGCGGCUUCCUGGACCAAUACUGACGAUCAGGUGCGAAAGCGUGGGGAGCAAACAGG
rnacentral:rRNA from 1 species